UACGUAGGGACCAAGCGUUGUCCGGAAUCAUUGGGCGUAAAGAGCGUGUAGGCGGCUUGUUAAGUCUUGCGUGAAAUCUCGGGGCUCAACCCCGAGCGGUCGUGAGAAACUGGCAGGCUAGAGUGCGGGAGAGGAGAGUGGAAUUCCUGGUGUAGCGGUGAAAUGCGCAGAUAUCAGGAGGAAUACCGAUGGCGAAGGCAGGUCUCUGGGCUGACACUGACGCUCAUGCACGAAAGCGUGGGGAGCAAACAGG
rnacentral:rRNA from 1 species